rnacentral:Y_RNA from 1 species
GGCAGGUACGAAGGUAGUGAAUUAUCUCAAUUAAUUGUUCACAGUCAGUUACAGAUCGAACUCCUUGUUCUACUCUUGCCCUGUUCUUCUCACUACUGCACUUGACUAGUCUUAA